CAAAGAAUUGUGCUGUCUCCUUGAUAACUAUGGUUUGACCCAACAUGUAACAGAGCCCACACACAAUAGAGGUCACACUCUAGACCUAAUUAUUUCCAAGGGCCUGAACAUACCCAAAAUUAUGGUUACUGAUGUUGCUAUUUCUGAUCACUCCUGUGUGUUUUUUGAGAGUACUAUCUCUAUGUUAUUCACCACUGCUCAGACAGAGGUAAUCACCAAGCGGCUUAUCACUGACUACACCAGUGAAAUAUUUAAUCAGGCUUUGACUCCUCUCCCAGCUCUCUCACGGCUCUCGGUCAAUGAGCUUGUAGAAGACCUUUGCUCUAGAAUCACAAAUGUGAUGGAUGCCAUUGCGCCCACCAAGGUGAAAAUAGUCUCUGGCAAGAAAAGAUCUCCAUGGAGGAAUGCCGCGCUGGUCAGAGCUGAAAAAAGAGAGUGUCGGAAAGCCGAACGCAGAUGGCGAAAGACAAGCCUUCAGGUUCACUAUCAGAUCUAUAAAGAGAGACUUCGUAUCUUUAACCUAGAACUAAGAAAUGCUAGACGAUCCUUCUUCUCAGACAUCAUCACCAAAAAAAAAAUAAUGCACGCGCCCUAUUUACCACAGUCGACAGGCUAACAAACCCUCCAGUAUCAGUAGCCUCUGAAUUUCUGUCUGCCAAGGCUUGUAAUGAAUUUGCCUCCUUCUUCAAUAACAAAAUCCAGAAAAUUAGACAAACAGUCAGUAGCUCAAUAUCCGGUACAGGAUAUGUGUUGUCCAUGUGUACUAACCCCAGUAGCAUGACACAAUUCAACCCGAUCAACAUUAAAACCCUGGAGGACAUCAUACUAAAUCUGAACUCCUCCACCUGCUGCCUUGAUAUUCUGCCAACAGGUUUCUUUAAAACAGUUUCUAAUUGCAUUGCCUCAGAUCUUCUACAGAUUGUCAACAUGUCACUUCUGUCAGGUGUCUUUCCACAGGCCCUGAAAACUGCUGUCAUAAAGCCUCUCCUAAAAAAAAGCAACCUAGACAACUCAGUAAUGAACAAUUAUAGGCCUAUAUCGAACCUCCCGUUUUUAAGCAAAAUCAUUGAAAAAGCAGCCUUCCAACAGCUUCACAACUUCUUAGUCCUAAACAAUUGUUUUGACGUUUUCCAGUCAGGGUUUCGACCGCAUCACAGCACUGAGACUGGUCUUAUCAAAGUCUUUAACGACAUCCACUUAAACUCAGACAAUGGCAAAAUCUCAGUCCUAGUAUUGCUCGAUCUCAGUGCCGCUUUCGACACGGUUGACCACAGCAUCCUACUCGAUCGACUGGAAAACUGGGUGGGACUUUCUGGAACAGUACUAAACUGGUUUGCAUCCUACUUAAAGGAUAGAGACUACUUUGUGUCUCUAGGUAAUUACACAUCAGAGCGAACAAAAAUGACAUGUGGGGUUCCCCAAGGCUCCAUUCUGGGGCCACUCCUGUUCAACAUUUACAUGCUCCCUCUAACUCAAAUCAUAGCAAACAACAAAAUAUCUUACCAUAAUUAUGCAGACGACACACAGAUUUACAUAACCAUAUCGCCAGGCGACUACAAUCCAAUGCAAACACUGAGUCAGUGUAUUGAACAAAUCAACGAUUGGAUGUGUCAGAAUUUUCUUCAACUAAACAAAGAUAAAACUGAAGUAAUUGUAUUUGGAGCAAAAGACGAGCAAUUAAAAGUCUGAGCUCAGCUUCAAUCGAUAAUGUUAAAAAGCACAAACCAAGCCAG